AAGAAAAAUUACCCCAGCUGGGCACGGUGGUAUCCACUUGGAAUACAGCACUUUAGAAGCUGAGGCAGGAGGACUUCUGUGUGCAAAUGUUUGUCUGCAUGAAGGCGUGCGCACCGCAUGUGUGCGGGACAGGACCCACGGAAGCCGGGAGGACAUUGGAUGCCCUGAAAACAGAGUUGAGGAUGGUUGUGAGCCACCACGUGGUACUGGGAAUUGAACCUGGAUCUUCCUCGAGAGCAGCCAGUGCUCCUAACCACUGGGCGGUCUCUCCAGCCCUAGUUGUGGAUAAUUUUACUUUUAUUUUGAUGGUGUGGUUUUGGUUAGGAGUGAUAAUGUCCUUGUGGCUUGUCAAAUAAAAGGAAGGCCUUGUGUGUGCACA